rnacentral:rRNA from 1 species
AGCGGGUAUUAAUUUACUAAUACUGUCAGCUAAGUGGCGCACGGGUGAGUAAUAUAUAGGUAACGUGCCCUAGAGAAGAGGAUAACAUCUGGAAACGGUUGCUAAGACUCUAUAUGCCUUUAAGACAUAAGUCUGCAAGGGAAAUAUUUAUAGCUCUAGGAUCGGCCUGUACGGUAUCAGCUUGUUGGUGAGGUAAUGGCUCACCAAGGCAAUGACACCUAACUGGUUUGAGAGGAUGAUCAGUCACACUGGAACUGAGACACGGUCCAGACUCCUACGGGAGGCAGCAGUGGGGAAUAUUGCACAAUGGACGAAAGUCUGAUGCAGCAACGCCGCGUGGAGGAUGACACAUUUCGGUGCGUAAACUCCUUUUAUAUAGGAAGAUAAUGACGGUACUAUAUGAAUAAGCGCCGGCUAACUCCGUGCCAGCAGCCGCGGUAAUACGGAGGGCGCAAGCGUUACUCGGAAUCACUGGGCGUAAAGAGCGUGUAGGCGGGUUAAUAAGUCAGAAGUGAAAUCCAAUAGCUCAACUAUUGAACUGCUUUUGAAACUGUUAGCCUAGAAUAUGGGAGAGGUAGAUGGAAUUUUCUGGUGUAGGGGUAAUAUCCGUAGAGGUCAGAAUGAAUACCUGAUUGCGA